rnacentral:misc_RNA from 1 species
GAUGAAGAACGUAGCGAAAUGCGAUAAGUAAUGUGAAUUGCAGAAUUCAGUGAAUCAUCGAAUCUUUGAACGCACAUUGCGCCCGCCAGUAUUCUGGCGGGCAUGCCUGUCCGAGCGUCAUUUCAACCCUCAAGCCCCCGGGCUUGGUGUUGGAGAUCGGCGAGCCCCCCGGGGCGCGCCGUCUCCCAAAUAUAGUGGCGGUCCCGCUGUAGCUUCCUCUGCGUAGUAGCACACCUCGCACUGGGAAACAGCGUGGCCACGCCGUAAAACCCCCCACUUCUGAAAGGUUAACCUCGGAUCAGGUAGGAAUACCCGCUGAACUUAAGCAUAUCAAUAAGCGGAGGA